AACACUGCAAGACGUCCAUCGCCAUUCUUGUGGCCAAUUGCACUAUUUAGUUGUGUAAGUAGCCUUCUGUUUGGCCUCUAAGCAGCCAGUGUCUAGAACAGCUGACUAAAGUCUAUUGAGGGAAUGACGCUAUGACUCGGGCCAUUGCUGAGCUAAAUGCCGAAGGGGGAUGGGGAGGUUUACUGUACUAAGAGGUUAAUGGGACAAUCCCUGAAUGCUAAACAACACAGAUACAUUAUAAGGGGGAGGAAAUGGAGCACGUAUGGGAGAAGACAUAGAACUAUUGGCAAGUGUGGGCAGAUGGUUGCUGCACUUAUCCCUAUUACCUAGAAAGAUAACAGCUGCAUGGGAGUGUGGCCAAGACAGCCACCCUGUGAAUCUUUCAAAGCUAAGGGCGUGGCCACUUGAGUGACAGGUGAACUGCCACUGCUGUCACUAGAGUCGAACUAGGCGGACGUGGUUUCAGCAACUGGCCACCUCAGCUUUACCCACACCUCUUUACCAUUUUUCGGUUAUCUGUGAGUGAUGCGCGGUGACGUGAUGCCAAUGCCGAUGGCAGGCCCCACCAACUAUUGGCUUCAAAAAACCUCUUUACAAACCUUUGGGUGACGUCACAGACACUACGUCCAUAAUUUUUACAGUCUAUGGUAAUAACGCAAUGCAAUAAAUCAUCCAGAAAUUAACGUAAUCCCAUCUUCAGGUUUAGAGACAUCUAGAUUAAUUAUCAAUAAUGAACUUAAA